rnacentral:rRNA from 1 species
AAAUAAUAAUUAGUUAUUUUAGUACGAAAGGAGUAAAUAAUUAAAAUAUUUUUAUAUA